rnacentral:rRNA from 1 species
AGGAACGACCAUACUACGAUGACAGCACCGCUUCCCGUCUGCUCAGCGAAGUUAAGCAUCGUCAGGCCCGGUCAGUACUACGGUGGGGGACCACGUUGGAAUCCCGGGUGUUGUUCUUU